rnacentral:rRNA from 1 species
AUUGAACGCUGGCGGCAUGCCUUACACAUGCAAGUCGAACGGCAGCACGGGAGCAAUCCUGGUGGCGAGUGGCGAACGGGUGAGUAAAGUAUCGGAACGUGCCCAGUCGUGGGGGAUAACGUAGCGAAAGUUACGCUAAUACCGCAUACGAUCUAUGGAUGAAAGCGGGGGAUCGCAAGACCUCGCGCGAUUGGAGCGGCCGAUAUCAGAUUAGGUAGUUGGUGGGGUAAAGGCUCACCAAGCCGACGAACUGUAGCUGGUCUGAGAGGACGACCAGCCACACUGGGACUGAGACACGGGCCAGACUCCUACGGGAGGCAGCAGUGGGGAAUUUUGGACAAUGGGCGAAAGCCUGAUCCAGCCAUGCCGCGUGCAGGAUGAAGGCCUUCGGGUUGUAAACUGCUUUUGUACGGAACGAAAAGGUUUGGCCUAAUAAGCUGAGCUCAUGACGGUACCGUAAGAAUAAGCACCGGCUAACUACGUGCCAGCCGCCGCGGUAA